rnacentral:rRNA from 1 species
AACGUACGCUGGCGGCACGCCUAACACAUGCAAGUCGAACGAAGUAGCAAUACUUAGUGGCAGACGGGUGAGUAACAUGUAGGUAUCUGCCCUUUGGCCUGGAAUAACACGAGGAAACUUGUGCUAAUACCGGAUAAGUCUUUACGGAGAAAGCUUUAUGCACCAUUGGAUGAGCCUGCACUUGAUUAGUUUGUUGGUGGGGUAAUGGCCUACCAAGACUGUGAUCAAUAGCUGAUUUGAGAGGAUGAUCAGCCACAUUGGGACUGAGACACGGCCCAAACUCCUACGGGAGGCAGCAGUGGGGAAUCUUGCACAAUGGAGGAAACUCUGAUGCAGCGAUGCCGCGUGAGUGAAGAAGGCCUUUGGGUUGUAAAGCUCUUUCGUCGGGGAAGAAAAUGACUGUACCCGAAUAAGAAGGUCCGGCUAACUUCGUGCCAGCAGCCGCGGUAAUACGAAGGGACCUAGCGUAGUUCGGAAUUACUGGGCUUAAAGAGUUCGUAGGUGGUUGAAAAAGUUGGUGGUGAAAUCCCAGAGCUUAACUCUGGAACUGCCAUCAAAACUUUUCAGCUAGAGUAUGAUAGAGGAAAGCAGAAUUUCUAGUGUAGAGGUGAAAUUCGUAGAUAUUAGAAAGAAUACCAAUUGCGAAGGCAGCUUUCUGGAUCAUUACUGACACUGAGGAACGAAAGCAUGGGUAGCGAAGAGGAUUAGAUACCCUCGUAGUCCAUGCCGUAAACGAUGUGUGUUAGACGUUGGAAAUUUAUUUUCAGUGUCGCAGCGAAAGCGAUAAACACNCCGCCUGGGGAGUACGACCGCAAGGNUAAAACUCAAAUGAAUUGACGGGGACCCGCACAAGUAGUGGAGCAUGUGGUUUAAUUCGAAGAUACGCGCAGAACCUUACCAACACUUGACAUGUUCGUCGCGACUUCAAGAGAUUGAAGUUUUCGGUUCGGCCGGACGAAACACAGGUGCUGCAUGGCUGUCGUCAGCUCGUGUCGUGAGAUGUUGGGUUAAGUCCCGCAACGAGCGCAACCCUCACUUUUAGUUGCCAUCAUUAAGUUGGGCACUCUGAAAGAACUGCCAGUGAUAAGCUGGAGGAAGGUGGGGAUGACGUCAAGUCCUCAUGGCCCUUACGUGUUGGGCUACACACGUGCUACAAUGGUAUCUACAACAGGAAGCAAGACUGCGAAGUUAAGCAAAUCCUUAAAAGAUACCUCAGUUCGGAUUGCACUCUGCAACUCGAGUGCAUGAAGCUGGAAUUACUAGUAAUCGUGGAUCAGCGUGCCACGGUGAAUGCGUUCCCGGGUCUUGUACACACCGCCCGUC